rnacentral:tRNA from 1 species
GGUUCCAUGGUCUAGUGGUAAGGACAUUGGACUCUGAAUAACCCGAGUUCAAAUCUCGGUGGAACCU